rnacentral:lncRNA from 1 species
ACGGUAAAACGGAAACCGUGUCGUUUUCAGAAGAAACGGUUGCCUUUUAUAAACGUUUUAGCUCCCCGUUGGAAAAAGUCAUGAUGAUUGGUUUAUUUUUCCGCCGAGUUCCCUCCCUCCUUCUCCUCUGUUCACCGCCGCGACUCGGCACUAUCUCUAUUCAGAGAAUGUAACCUUUCUAAUUGUAUGGAGAUUUCGUCUCUGUAUGUAGACUGUAUUUGUUUUUUUUUUUGUAUGUGAUGUACACACUCACACUGAUAGGGUAUAAAAUUGAUUCCGAACCUCUAAAAACAAAUCUGGUAGAUAGAUAGUGAUAGCCUUCGUUGAGACUUCCUCGAUUAUCUUGACAAGUCCAUUUCUCUAGGGCUCGUGAUGGGGUUGGACUCUCUCUCACUGAAUUCACCUUUUUACGCUUUGAUUUGUUUUUUUCAGAGAGAUAUUGUAAGCAUCUCAAUUCUCAAAGGAUUCAAUAAACAAUCUUCUCACACUGACUGAGGUAUUCAUUUGUUCAUUUAGUCUCAUCUGAUGAUAAAAUUGGUUUGUUGCUGUGUAAAGGAUAUAUAUGUCUGCUAUUGAAUUCAAUUCAAUUUCAACAUUUUUGACAUCAUUACUACAAUCUGAGACUGGAAACUUAGUAACUUUGAUAGACUAGUUGUAGUGUCUCUGGUAGUGAAUAAGGUUUUCUUUCUUAUUGUUCCCCAGCACUUGAGUUAUUUGGAGAGUCUUGAUGCCAAUUUGAAUGACUUAACAAAAUUGAUUACUAAUUUUAUUUGAUCCAGUUAGAAAGUGGGUCACCUGGUGUCGCAGGUGAGGACUGCACAAAUGGCACAGCCCGAGAGAACUUGAAAGGAGCCUGAAACACCACGUAUGAAAGGCUUAUACUGGACUGCAAUGUGCCUAGUAACUAACUCGACCAGACUGGUAUAAAUCGUAUUGCUAGGUUUUAUAUUCAGUUUGCACAAAGUGAGAAGUGGAAAUCGGAAAGUAAGUAGCUGAGGCUCAUAAUGUAGCUAUUUCCACCAGCUUAAUAACCUUGGCAUGUCAAUUGCAGAAUGAAAUGAAAUCAGUCUUGGGAUCGAUACUAUAUUUACCAGGUAAACAACUUGUCUCUUUUUCCCACUGCACUUUAAGCUCUCCUUUGGCUUCUAUCUCAUCUAGUUUAAGCAUUUGUACCAUUAAGCAACUCUCUUUCAACCCCCAAAAGCUCCUAGUCUGCAGCUUUGAUACUUCCUUGAACAUUCCCCUCCAAUACGAAUAACCUAAAUGGUUUGUGGUUCUAAUGACUCAUUCUUGGAACUUUGGAAGCAUAGAAUGUUACUCGCAAGGGGUAAACAUUUACAUAUCCUUAGGUCAAAGGUUCAAACAUUAAAAAUUAACAGCGAUAAGAGCCUAGUCUUGUGUCUUGUAUUGUACAGAUUUUACGGGAAAGAGAUGGUUGUUGAUACAAGAGGAUAUAGUAGGUUCACCUUGUUGGAAAGCUUAUCAACCUCAUCACUCACUCCCACCGAUUUUGGCCUUUUAUACGUUUCCCAAUCUGUGAAUAGUUAAGCUUUUGUCUUUGGGGAAGAAUUAAGUUAAUGUGAGAGUUUUCAGGGUUAUGUCUAAAAUAAAGUACAAAGAGUGUUAGUAGAGUAAGCAAUCAAAAAAGUAAACUUUGAAAACAACCUCUCAGCUCAUUUUAUGGGAAAUCAUCUGAUUGUAAUCGUAUCAUUAAAAUAUCAUAAAGGUUAUAUAUGUUGUGG